rnacentral:rRNA from 1 species
GAUGAACGCUAGCGACAGGCUUAACACAUGCAAGUCGAGGGGCAGCAUGGUCUUAGCUUGCUAAGACUGAUGGCGACCGGCGCACGGGUGCGUAACGCGUAUGCAACUUGCCUCACAGAGGGGGAUAACCCGUCGAAAAACGGACAACUACCGCGUACACACCAUCUUGGGCAUCUAAGGAAGAGGAAAUGAAAUUCGCCGGGAAAUAGGCAUGCGUCCCAUUUGCUUGUUGGGAGGGGAAAGGCUCACCAAGGCGACGAUGGGUAGGGGAACUGAGAGGGUGCACCCCCACACUUGUACUGAGACACGGACCAGACUGCUACGGGCGGCAGCAGUGCGGGAUAUUGGUCAAGGGGCGAGAGCCUGAACCAGCCAAGUCGCGUGAAGGAUGACUGUCUUGUGGAUUGUAGACUUCUUUUAUACGGGAAUAACAAGAGUCACGUGUGACUCCCUGACUGUACCGUAUGAAUAAGCAUCGGCUAACUACGUG